CACACUUAUAAUAUAGCUAGAAUACUUUUAGAGGCAUUAUUUCCUUAGUGUUUCUAGAUUUUUAGCCUUUGGAUUUACUCCUUAAUUACUAGUAGCCUUUGGAUCAAACAUUAUUCCACCUACCAUCAGCUACCACCACCUACCACCGUCAUCCCAAACUUAUAUUUCUCCAUUCAAGGAAUUAAAAAUUCAAAAAUACCAACCUUUUGGUGCUUUUGAAAGUAUUCUAGCUCAACUCUAUAUUAUAGGAAAAACUUUAAAUAUUUUCUUCGUGGUUUCAUACGUUUUCACUUUAGUAUUCUGUGGUUUAAAGUGUAUCAAUUUAGUGUAAUGUGGUUUUAUUUUCAUCUUUUUAUUAUCGAUUCCACUAAUUUUUUUUGUUAAAUUAGUGAUAAAGCUAAAACUAAAGGGUAUUAAAGUGAAAACGUAUGAAACNAAAGUGUAUCAAUUUAGUGUAAUGUGGUUUUAUUUUCAUCUUUUUAUUAUCGAUUCCACUAAUUUUUUUUGUUAAAUUAGUGAUAAAGCUAAAACUAAAGGGUAUUAAAGUGAAUAUUUGAUAAAACUAGGUAGGGUAUCUGAAGAUUUUUUUAUAUAAUUUAACAAAAUAUUAACAAAAAAGCUGACGAAAAAAUAAAAAUGAAAUCACAUGACACUUACUUGAUACAUUUUAAAUUAUAGGAUACUAUAUACAGUGAAAAAAUGUAAAACUAUAAUGCAUGGUGCAUAUAUACAUGCAUUGUAUCCUAUGCACUAAAACCAUUCAUUGUUACAGUGAUUAUCAAAAGGUUGGUACGGAAGAUAUAGCUCGAUGCUCUCCAUGAUUUGGUUUGGACUUGUGUAUUGUACAUAAUCCCCAUGCCAUUACCCACCAAAUCUAGAGAGAGAAAGUGAUGAUGGUGAUGGGCAUGUACAAUUACCAUAUAUUUGAAGAGAGAGAUAGAGAGAGAGAGAGAGAGAAAUUAAUAAUUGGAGAGGUAAUCUUAUGUAUUUGGUUUAUUCGGAAAAAUUCUAGAAUGCAACGGGUAUAUUAAUGACGUGGCGUAACAAAUCAAUCAAAUAAUCCUUUUAAGAAUAUAUGUCCUAUCACGAUUGUAAAAAAGUAUUUUUAUUGUACUUUUGUUUGAAAAGAAGGAAUGUAAUUGGCUUGUUAUUGAUGACGUGGUGCAAGUGUGACAGUAUAGAAUUCCUCGUUUAUUCGUAUUAUUUAUAUGCCUCAUACAUUGCAUCUAAUAUUUGAUGACAACAGAUGCUGCUGUAAAUUUAUAA
rnacentral:lncRNA from 1 species